rnacentral:lncRNA from 1 species
CGAGCCUCGUGCUCUUCUCGAAUUUUCUUCCUUCUCAAUUUUCAUCUCGUGAGUGUAGCAACAUGAAUUAUAGCUUGUCAAGCAAUACAUUUUCUCAGCGUUGAGAAGAUUCUGCUCCAUUUUUUCUGAUUAUGGAUUCUGUUCAGAAGGAAGCCGAAUUUUAAGUCAUCGUUCUAGGAUAGAUUCAGCUCCAUUUUCUCUGGUGGUAGAUCUCCAUGGAUGCUAUUGAGAAGGUACUUCUCAAAGUCCACGAGGACAAGGACAUCUUUCCACCGAAUGCCACCUGGUUUAUAACAAAAGCAUGAAAAACAAACAGGAAUUUCUCAAUGCAGAAAGGACUGAAGCUGUCAAAGGUGUGCUUUUUUUCUGCACAAACAAGUUUCCAUUGAAUGAUAGAAUAAAGAGAUACUGACUUCCCCGGAGCCUCCAAACUUGAGUAGUCAGGCAUUGGGAUCCGUGGAAGGCUUGUUAAAUCCAAAUAGAUUGGUCCUACUCCAUCCGCAGAGUUGCUGACGAGGUGCGUCCAGGCCUUCUCCUCACCUCUCAGGGAGAUAUACCAUGCAGUGCCUUCAGUUAUGGUGUUGUGACUGAGGAUGCUUCGGUCAGACAUGUCCCUGAAAACCUGCAUAGAGCUGCACUUCAAGGGAAGUUAUUGAAUAUGUCCUAUCCAACUAAAACAAGGAAAUGAUGAAAAAAAUAAAAUCACUUUCCAGAGGCCUCAGGGCUAACUGGAGACAGAGCUCAGACUGCAACUGAGAAAAGUUGGACUCCAAAACCUGUACUCUGAGCUUUACUGCAUGAGAAAGUUAUUGAAAUGUGCCUUGUGACAUUCAGAAUAAGUGACUUUUCAGAGGUCUCAGAGUCAGUAAGAGACAGAACUCAGAUUGUAACCAAGAAGAGCUGAACUCCAAACUUCUGUGUCCGGAAUUGGUGGGUUCUUGGUCUCACUGACUUCAAGAAUGAAGCGGCAGACCCUCGCGCAUACCUGCCAUGCAAGAAAUGUGAAAAGUUCUUCGGAGAGAAGGAAAAUUAUAUAGGUCAGAAACUGAGACCUACAUAAGGAAAGAAGAGCAUUGGAUGAAGAAGAAAUAAAUAAAGAUGCAAUGGAUUAAGACUCUUGACUAGAAUAAUCUGAAGCAUUCUGCGUGAAUUUGUGACCAAAGAAACCAAAAAUCAGGCUACCUUUGACAAUGUCAAAUUACAGUGAACUGUGGAGUCGAUUAUACCUCUCAUAUUUCUUUAUUAUGUUAAAUGCUUAAUUAUUUGCUUGAUUCUGUCUUUGUCAUAGUCCUUUAUUACAAUGACGUCUUAUUUAAGUAAAAGAAUUCCAAAUACAUAGAAAACAAAAGCAUUUGUUUUAUUUCAAAAUAAUGAAGAAACAUAAUAGGUUAUACAACUUUUCAAGAGACCAUUAUGCUGUUAAAUCAUUUAUAUAUCUUCUCUUUAUUUGGACUCAGAAAAUAUGGACAUUAUAAUGCAAAAAGUUACUGAAAAAUCAAUGUCAGCAUCAUCUGAACUCUUUUCCCCUAAUCUAAUCUAGGCAUUUGGAUUACCCAUUUCUAAGCACAUCAGUGGUUUUUGAAUGUCAGUAGCACCCUGCUUAAUCAAUAAGCCUUUAUUUGGCUCAAUGAACUGCUGAUACGUACUUUUACAUAUUCAAAAUCUGUCCCUCAGUAUGGAUACUAACUAGAUCUUUUUUGAAUGAGAAGGUCAGGUCAGGCUCCCCCUUGGCAAUGAUACCAGCUCCCUCAGAUUCUCAUUAAUGGAACCAUGUGCUCACUGAACAAAGAAUGCUUACAGAAAAAAAAAAGAAUAUUGACGUCAGUGUAUAUUAUAUUCCUUAAAAAUAUUUAUAAACGAGCAUUCGUUAUAGAAGCAAGGAACAUGACAGCUUAUUGAUUAUGCAAAUAUGUUCCUUGUACGCUUUUAAAAUAAAUCAAUUAGUGCAAGAGUUGGCAAAGUCUUCCUUAAAGGGCAAGAUUAUUAAAAUAUUAGGCUUUGCUGGCCAUUUGGUCUGUCACAACUAAUUAACUCUGCUGUCGUAAUGGGAAAACAGCCACAGACAAUAUGUGAAAUAAUGGAUGUGGCUGUAUUUCAAUAAAACUUUGUUUAGAGAAACAGGUGGUGGGACAGUGUGUUGAUCCCUGAACUAAUGGGAUAAAAUAUAACUUAAAUAUAAUAUGCAUGUAUGUACAUAUGUUUCUGUUUACAAAAUAGAAUUGAGUGUCUCUUUCAGCUAAUUGAGCACCAUAAUGUAAACCUACAAGAGGUACGAGAGAAUUUCGUAUAUGUAUUUGAAGUCUUGACACUGCUAAAUCUUUUGUUUGUAAUUGGCAUGCCAUGUUGGAAGACAUAAUAGAGAAACUGUCUAUCCAUGCGUCCUUUACUUAAGAAAACUAAACUCUUCUCUGAAGUUAUGUGGUAUAGAUUUUUCCUAAAGGAAGCCAACCAGUUGAAAGAUCAAGCUAUGCAUUAACUCAUCACACUUUAAAUAAGUAAAUAAAUAAAUAACUCACCUAGUUCAUUGUUUGGAUGGUUUAUUGGAUGUGAGAUACUUCAUACUGUCCUGACACAGAGUUUAUUACCUAUGUAAGAGAAGGCACAUAUGGUUAGGUUUCAAGAGAUAUUCUAAUUGUUUCCUGUGGUGAUGUUUGAACUCUACAGUCAAAUUCAGAUGCAUUUAAUUUGGUAAGGUAGACAAUUGGUUAAAUGUUUGGUGUCAAAGUAAGAAAUACAUAGUGAAUUGAUGGAGAGGAAUGUUCUUAAAGUGGUCUAUACAGAUUGACCCUAAAAUCAACCUCACCUUUAUAUCAACCUCGUCUUUGAAAAGAUUGCAGCCCCAAGGACUUUGAUUAUUUUUCUUCAUGACCUCUCUGGGUACCUGAUAAUAGGAAUAGACACACGAAAAAAAACCUGAUAAUGUUACUCUGGUGUAAUCACAACUACUUCUGCUCUAUUAAAACUACCAUGCGAUAUGACCACUUUUACAGUCAUUUGUUAACUUUCUCUUUUAUCAUCAAAGUUGUACUGCACAUACUCAAAACUGACAGCUACAAUAGAGUGGCCCAUAUAUUCUCUGAGAUCAAGACAGAAACAUUACUCAUCAAAUUCUAAUCUAGUGUCACAUAGGAGAAAUACAACUAGCCAGUGAGACUCUCACUGCUAUCUGGCUCACAGAAACAGAUAGAGCAACUUCUCAUCUAUUAUUGAAGCAUUGCAGAAAUUGUGGUGCAGUGUAUGUGCCUACACUAUAAAGUAGCUAGGCUUGCACUUUUUAUGUGUGUUUGGCCAUAUAAUUCAUCUGGGCCUAGUAUCAACUCAGGACAUGGAUAUACUUUUUAAAGUAAUUGAGUAAUGUAUAUCUUUAAAAGCAAUCUCGUUAGAGCUUUAGGACAUUUCUAACAAAGCAAUGAAAUGUAGAGAUCUUAAUACAUUUCUAUGACUAUGAAUGUAAAUAAUAUAUGUUAUUUAAUAUUUUUCACAUGAAAAGAAAAUACUAACCCAGAAUGAAAAUGUAUCAAUAAUCCUGAGUAAAUUAAUCUAACAACAAUGAAUGUUUUGUGGUGCAUAUUUGGCAAAGCCUUCAAAUUUGUCAGACCUUUACAAAUCAUUUUCUUAUGUAGAGUCAUUGCUGUGUUUUGUAAUAAAUUUUGAAAACUGGCUUUAUGGAAUAAAAUAAAAAGCAAAUUUAUUAACUUUUUUGUAAAAGCUUUUCAAUGGUUUCACUAACUAUUUAAAAACAAAAAUAAAUAACCUUUGAGAUUGCUAUAUCAUUGAGAUUAUUUUAAAAGUCUCUUGAAAGUACUUAUACCUUAUUUGGUAUUAUAAAGAGGUUUCUAUAAAAAGUUACUUGUAUUUUGUGUCCCAAAUAAUUCAACAACAUAUUUAUUCAUUCUGCAAACAAACGAUAGCUGUUCCCUAAAGCAAUAUUUAUUAGAAAACUUAGGAAACCUGAGCAAAAUAUUGACUGAAGACAAACACAUUUAUAAUCAAUUAAAGAUAAAAAAGUUAACUUUUUACAAGAUGGACUAAAGAUUUAAAUGUAAGACCUCAAACUAUAAAAAUCUGAGAAGAAAACUGAGUAAAUACCCUUCUCGGUGUGAGCUUUGGCAAAAAAAAAAAAAAAAAAAAUUAUGGCUAAGAACCCAAAAGCAAUUGAAACAAAACCAAAAAUUGACAAGGGAGCCUAAUUCAACUAAAGAGCUUCAGCAUAGCAAAAAGAAUUAUGAACAGAAUAAACAGGCAGCCUACAGAAUGGGAGAAAAUGUUUCCAAGCUAUACAUCCAACAAAGGUCUAAUAGAGCCUAGAAGGAACUUAACAAGCAAAAAACAAUCCAAUUAAAAUGUGGUCAAAGGACAUGAACAGACACUUCUCAAAAUAAGACAUGCAGGUGGCCAACAAACAUGAAAAAAUGCUCAUGAACACUAAUCAUCAGAGAAAUACAAAUUAAAACCAAAAUAGAAUACCAUCUCACACCGGUCAGAAUGGCUAUUACCAAAAAGUCAAAAAAUAACAGAUGCUGGCAAAACUGCAGAGAAAAGGGAAUGCUUACACACUGUUUGUGGGAAUGCAAAUUGGUUCAACCACUGUGGAAAGCAGUUUGGAGAUUCCUCAAAGAUUUGAAAACAGACCUACCACUCGACACAGCAAUCCCAUUACUGGAUAUAUACUCAAAGGAAAAUACAUCUCUCAACCAAAAACAAACAUUCACUCAUAUGUCUUUGUCAGUGCUAUUCACAAUAGCAAAGACGCAGAAACAAUAUAGGGACCCAACAAUGGUGGACUGGAUUUUAAAAAUGUAGUACAUAUACACCAUGAAAUACUGUGUAGCCAUACAAAGAAUGAAAUAAUCUAUUUUGCAGCAACAUGGAGGCAACUGGAGGCCAUUAUCUUAAGAAAAUUAACUCAGGAACAGAAAAUUAAAUGCUAUAUGUUCUGAUAUAUAAAUGGAAGGUAAACAUUGAGUACAUGUGGACUUAAAGAUGGGAGCAAUAGAAACUAAGGACUACUAGAUAGGAGAAGGAGGGAGGUGAAUGGGCUGAAAAACAACCUAUUGGGUACUGUCUGGGUGGGAUCAUGUGUACCCCAAACUUCAGCAUCACACAGUAUACACAUAUACACACAUAUAUACACACAUAUGUAUAUACACAUAUAUGUAAUAUAUCAAUACACAUAUAUGUAAAUGUAUGUGUAUAUAUGUAAAUAUGUAAAUAUAUGUAUAUAUGUGUGUGUAAAUAUAUGUAUACAUGUAUAUGUGUGUAAAUAUAUGUAUGUAUACAUAUAUGUAUAUGUGUGAAUAUGUAUGUGUAUAUGUAAAUAUAUGUAUAUAUACAUAUGUAUACAUGUAAAUGUAUGUGUGUACGUGCAUAUGUAAACACACAUAUGCAUAUAUGUAAAUAUAUGCAUAUGUAAAUACAUAAAUGCAUAUUUAUGUAAAUACAUGUAAAUAUGCAAACACACAGAUGCAUGUUUAUGUAAAUAUAUGUAAAUACAUAAUGUGCAAAGCGCAUGUAUAUGUAAAUAUAUGUAAAUAUGCAUAUAUGUAAAUGUGCAUGUAUACACAUGUAUGCAUGUAAAUGUGUAUGGCUAUAAACAUACGCAUAUAUGUAAAUAUAUACGUAUAUGUAAAUAUAUGUAAAUAUAUUUACAUAUAUACAUAUUCACGUUAUGCAUAUAUGUAAAUAUAUUUACAUAUACACAUACAUAUUCACACAUAUACAUAUAUGUAUACAUACAUAUAUUUACACACAUAUACAUGUAUACAUAUAUUUACACACACAUAUACAUAUACAUUUACAUAUAUGUAAAUUGAUAUAUUACAUAUACGUAUAUGUAUAUAUUUACAUAUCUGUAUAUAGAUGUAUUUACAUAUGCAUAUAUGUAUAUAUUUACAUAUAUUUACAUGUAUACAUAUAUGCAUAUAUAUAUAAAUAUAAAUACAAACCUGUCCAUGUACCCUCUAAAUCCAAAAUAAAAGUGGGGUAAAAAGGCUUAACUUUUCACAGAUUAUCUUCAAAGUGACCACUAAUGGAUAUACUUCCACACACAGAAAAAUAAACCCAGAAAGAGGAAAUUGAAUGAAAGAAGAAAUGACGAAAGAGAAAAUGGUUAAAUCUAAACAAGUUGUGAGGCUGGCACGGUGUCUCACGCCUGUAAUCCCAUCACUUUGGGAGGCCGAGGUGGGAAGAUCUCUUGAGACCAGGAGUUUCAGUCCAGUCUGGCCAACAUGGUGACACUCUGUCUAUACUAAAAAUACAAAAAUUAGCCGAGUGUGGUGGUGUGUGCCUGUAGUCCCAGUUACUUGGGAGGCUGAGGCAGGAGACUCACUUGAACCCAGGAAGUGGUGGUUACAGUGAGCCAAGAUUGCACCACUGCGCUCCAGCCUGGGCGACAGAGUGAGACUCUGUCCCAAAAAUAAAUAAAUAAAUAAAUAAAUAAAUAAAUAAAUAAAUAAAUGUAAACAUGUGAGAUUUUAAAAUAUUGUAGUAAAGUUUGGAAUUGUUUAAAAGCAAAACUUAAUGAAAAGACUAGGAAAAAUAGAGGGAUGAAUGGUAGACGAUAUUUGAAUAAAUUCUGUCAUGUAAGGGAUGAGAAAAAUCAUGGGCGCACUCUAAAUUUGUGAAUUAAAUAUAAAAUUAAUAUGGAUGUUUAAUGUUAAGGACCUCGAUUAAAACGGAAUAAUAGAAUGCGGGAAGAAAAUUAAUAUGAAACCAAAGCAUGACAAUUUUUUAAAAUAGUAAAAUAAAUACAUAUAUUAUAAAAUGAGAAUUAUAAAUUGAUUAAAUUCAUUCAUUAGAAGACAUUAAGAAACUAGAGUCUUGAAAAUUAGAUGUGUGUGGCUUAUUAAGAGAAACCCCAAAAGCAAACUGACAGAUACAUUUGAAUCAUCAGGGUUGGAAGGCAAUAUGUAUCUGACAAACUAAACAAAUAGAAGAUAAUAAGAUAAUAUGUAAUAUUACAUAAAAUACAAUUUCACAUGCCAAGAAUCCAUAAUAAUAAAACUAAUGAUAACUAUAAUAUAAUAAGAGCCAACAUUUAUGAUAAAUACAUGGCAAUUAUAAAUUUGUACAAAGCUAAGAGCUUAUCUUCAAAAUAUAUAACAUGAAAUAGCAUUAAAAAAGUAUAAUAAAAACAAAAAAAAUUAAAAAAUGAAAUUUUAAAUGUGUUACCCUAUUUGAAGGUUUUAAGAAAGUUUUCUUAGAAUAUAAUAUAUUGUACAUAAAUAAGCAUAAAUAUAGG